CCAAUCCAUAGCUACAUUCUGCCAAGACACGAAGAUUAUUGCAGCGCUUAAUGCCCGAACAAUUGCACGAAUUCGCCUACAUGUAUUUGAACCAUAGAAAAUGCCUGAGUUGUACAGAUUUGAACUGUAGAAAAUGUCUGAUAUACAUGUCUGAUCCAAAACUUUCUGAUCUACCAAGCACACCAUCAUAUCCCAAUUGCAUCAUGAGUGCUGCAUCAGCAGGAGUCAUAGUGCCUCCCCAAUGCAAUUUGCAUAACUGGAAGCUUACCCAUUCACUUAAUUUCUGCUGCAAGACCGUAAGACGCCUACAUCUUCUGUGAAAACGAGAAAACCUCAUCUUUAUUGUUGUUUACCUCUUUCAUCAUUGACCCAACAUUACUAACCGUCUCAGCAAUGUCACCAAACCCAGCCAAGUUCCACAUAUCUCAUCGUCCAAAGUAUGACUACCCCUUCCAUUAUCCCUGUGGACACUUCUUUGAAAUUCCUGCACUAACAAGCAAAUAUUACUUGAAAAUUAUGCUUAUUAAUGUAGUUUUCAUUGUCAACA
rnacentral:misc_RNA from 1 species